GGAAUUUUCCGCAAUGGGCGAAAGCCUGACGGAGCAAUGCCGCGUGGAGGAUGAAGGCCUGUGGGUUGUAAUCUCCUUUUCUCAGAGAAGAAGUUCUGACGGUAUCUGAGGAAUAAGCAUCGGCUAACUCCGUGCCAGCAGCCGCGGUAAUACGGAGGAUGCAAGCGUUAUCCGGAAUCAUUGGGCGUAAAGCGUCUGUAGGUGGCUUGGUAAGUCGACUGUUAAAUCGUAGAGCUUAACUCUAUAUCGGCAGUCGAAACUACUUCGCUUGAGUGUGGUAGGGGCAGAGGGAAUUCCCGGUGUAGCGGUGAAAUGCGUAGAUAUCGGGAAGAACACCAACGGCGAAAGCACUCUGCUGGGCCAACACUGACACUGAGAGACGAAAGCUAGGGUAGCCAAUGGGAUUAGAUACCCCUGUAGUC
rnacentral:rRNA from 1 species